UAAUGCUAGUUAUAGAUUUCAAAUAGCUAUUACAGAUUCUUAAUGUGGUUAGUGUCUAAAAAAUAUGGACAUUUUUAGCAGGGGUAAAAAAUUGGUAGAGCUUUGUAUAUUACAAAACCCAGCUAACAAUAGUGAUUGUGAAGCAGGAGAGAGUUUGAGGCAAGUUCAGAGUAUUGAGGUAAGUGCAGACUUUAAUAACAAAAAUAAUAAUCUAGUUAUUUGGUCGAUGUAAGUAAUUAUCAUGAUAUAAAUGUGUUAUUUUAUUUUAGGAUGCUUCCAAGGAUAAUAAAACAUGUGAUGUUUGGCCUGGAAAUAAAAUGUUGUUGGAUAAUCCUGUUAGCAAUCCAACAACUGAAAGCAACAUUGAUAUAAUACUCCAAGAAGAAGAGGGAAAUAGAAGAGAUAAUAAUGUACAGGUGUGUGCAACAUAUAUUAUAUUUAAUAUUGAUAUAAGUUAUUGGUUGGAAAUAAAGAUUUUUAAAUUCAAUUAUAUGUUAUUAUUUCAGGACCCUGAAUGUACUGGACUUCCAGUAGUAACUCUCUGGCAAAAUGACUUUGAUUCAGUACUGUUGCCAGUACCAGGAGUUGAAAUAGAGUUCAUUACUGCUAACUUCACAAACACAUCCCUGGCUGGAAACCUAACUACAGAGAUAAAUGGGACUGGCUUUGAAAUACACGAUACUGAUCCCAUCGAGAGUGUACAACUUUUGCCUGCUGAUGAAACUAGUUUAGAAGUAACCAGAAAAAAUGCAAACAUUGUAGCAUCUACAAGCCAUGAUAUUCUUCAGGGAGAAGAAAAUAUUAGUGAGGAGGAAAUGUUAGUUCACCAAAAUGCUGAUACCGAUUCAGACUUCGCACCUAAACCACCCG